AGCAGCCGCGGUAAUUCCAGCUCCAAUAGCGUAUAUUAAAGUUGUUGCAGUUAAAAAGCUCGUAGUUGAAUUUCGGGGUCAGUAGGUUGGUCGUGCCACUGGUAUGCACUGGCCUAACUGAUUCCUCCCUCUUGUAGAACCGUAAUGCCAUUAAGUUGGUGUUGCGGGGAAACAGGACUGUUACUUUGAAAAAAUUAGAGUGUUUAAAGCAGGCUAACGCUUGAAUACAUUAGCAUGGAAUAAUGAAAUAGGACGUUCGAUCCUAUUUUGUUGGUUUCUAGGAUUGACGUAAUGAUUAAUAGGGAUAGUUGGGGGCAUUAGUAUUCAAUUGUCAGAGGUGAAAUUCUUGGAUUUAUUGAAGACUAACUACUGCGAAAGCAUUUUGCCAAGGAUGUUUUCAUUAAUCAAGAACGAAAGUUAGGGGAUCGAAGACGAUCAGAUACCGUCGUAGUCUUAACCAUAAACUAUGCCGACUAGGGAUCGGAUGAUGUUAAUUUUUUAAUGACUCAUUCGGCGCCUU
rnacentral:rRNA from 1 species